AGAGUUUGAUCAGUGGCUCAGGACGAACGCUGGCGGCGUGCUUAACACAUGCAAGUCGAACGGAGUUAGACGCUGGAUUGAUGCCAGCUUGCUGGUGGAUUUCCUUGUCUAACUUAGUGGCGGACGGGUGAGUAACGCGUGAGUAACCUGCCCUCGAGUGGGGAAUAACGUUCUGAAAAGAUCGCUAAUACCGCAUAACACAUACUGAUCGCAUGGUCGGUAUGUCAAAGAUUUAUCGCUCGAGGAUGGACUCGCGUCCGAUUAGCUUGUUGGCGGGGUAACGGCCCACCAAGGCGACGAUCGGUAGCCGGACUGAGAGGUUGAACGGCCACAUUGGGACUGAGACACGGCCCAGACUCC
rnacentral:rRNA from 1 species